UGAUCCGUAGCUCAACGGUAGAGUAGGACACUCAUAAUGUCACGAUCAGAGUUCAAUUCUCUGCGGAUCAA
rnacentral:tRNA from 2 species